UAGGAAAAUUAUUAUCUGGGGAUAUUAUUUCUUCUGUCAAAACAAUUGAUUUAAUAGUGAGAUUUUAUAUAAUUAAAUUCCAUUGGAUCAAAGCUAUGGUAUUAUAUAACUUUCUUUGAACUUGAUUAAACAAUAUACAGGUAUAAGACUCAGAUCGGAGAUAACAUAUCGACUGACUUCUCUACUGAAAUUGAAGUUUUGAGGAGUUUGCCUGUCUCACGAAAAUCUUUGAAGAAGCCAAAGCGCCCUCAUAGCAGGCAGGACUCAUGUUGACAACUUUGAGAGAUUUUAUUGUCAUUCCAGAAUGGAUCUAAGGUUAGCAUGAAAACUACGAGGGGCUGAGCAGAAAGGCAGUCCACCCGCUGUCAUUGCUUCUUACUGAGAACUACAUAUCUCAUUCCUGCAUGCCGUAGGUGAACCGGCCAAUCCUCUAGUGAUGUGGCUGUAGCAGUCUUGAAGUCCUCUUGUUUCAUGCUCACUGUACAUGUAUAUCUCUAAAUAUUGUUGAGGGUUGUAGAGCCUUCCUUCAACCCUAGGGGGGCCUCAUUGCUA
rnacentral:lncRNA from 1 species